UUCACCCCAAUCCAUAAAGAAACACAAAGUCUUUUAUUUCGGACAUUAUUGUCUGGCUAGGGGGCUGGUUCAGUGGGUUAUUAGUGGCGAACGGGUGAGUAACACGUGGGCAAUCUGCCCUGCACUCUGGGACAAGCCCUGGAAACGGGGUCUAAUACCGGAUACUGACCCGCUUGGGCAUCCAAGCGGUUCGAAAGCUCCGGCGGUGCAGGAUGAGCCCGCGGCCUAUCAGCUUGUUGGUGAGGUAAUGGCUCACCAAGGCGACGACGGGUAGCCGGCCUGAGAGGGCGACCGGCCACACUGGGACUGAGACACGGCCCAGACUCCUGCGGGAGGCAGCAGUGGGGGAUAUUGCACAAUGGGCGAAAGCCUGAUGCAGCGACGCCGCGUGAGGGAUGACGGCCUUCGGGUUGUAAACCUCUUUCAGCAGGGAAGAAGCGAAAGUGACGGUACCUGCAGAAGAAGCGCCGGCUAACUACGUGCCAGCAGCCGCGGUAAUACGUAGGGCGCGAGCGUUGUCCGGAAUUAUUGGGCGUAAAGAGCUCGUAGGCGGCUUGUCACGUCGGUUGUGAAAGCCCGGGGCUUAACCCCGGGUCUGCAGUCGAUACGGGCAGGCUAGAGUUCGGUAGGGGAGAUCGGAAUUCCUGGUGUAGCGGUGAAAUGCGCAGAUAUCAGGAGGAACACCGGUGGCGAAGGCGGAUCUCUGGGCCGAUACUGACGCUGAGGAGCGAAAGCGUGGGGAGCGAACAGGAUUAGAUACCCUGGUAGUCCACGCCGUAAACGGUGGGCACUAGGUGUGGGCGACAUUCCACGUCGUCCGUGCCGCAGCUAACGCAUUAAGUGCCCCGCCUGGGGAGUACGGCCGCAAGGCUAAAACUCAAAGGAAUUGACGGGGGCCCGCACAAGCGGCGGAGCAUGUGGCUUAAUUCGACGCAACGCGAAGAACCUUACCAAGGCUUGACAUACACCGGAAACGUCCAGAGAUGGGCGCCCCCUUGUGGUCGGUGUACAGGUGGUGCAUGGCUGUCGUCAGCUCGUGUCGUGAGAUGUUGGGUUAAGUCCCGCAACGAGCGCAACCCUUGUCCCGUGUUGCCAGCAGGCCCUUGUGGUGCUGGGGACUCACGGGAGACCGCCGGGGUCAACUCGGAGGAAGGUGGGGACGACGUCAAGUCAUCAUGCCCCUUAUGUCUUGGGCUGCACACGUGCUACAAUGGCCGGUACAAUGAGCUGCGA
rnacentral:rRNA from 1 species